CCUUGAUAGUGAUCUUAAUAUAAUAAAUGUAUUUUUAUGAUGAUAUACAUAGAAAAAAUAUAUGUGUAGAUCACAUAUGUUAUUUUUGCUUUUUACAUCGAUGUUUCUUCUGAAGAAAUCAUCACUUUUUUAUCAGCUGCUUUCACACAAAAAUAAAAACAUUUACUUUGCUAUUUAACUUAAUACAAUAAAUAUUUAUAAUAAAUAUAAUGUUUAAUAGCAAAUAUCCAAUUGAUUUAAAAGGCUGCAAAUUAUAUAAAACAAGCCAAUCCUCCACGCUAAAAACAAUGGCAACUGGCCACAGGGAUUAAGUUGUGGUUUACAAGUUUUAAAAGGGCCCACACAUCGGUUGACCUACGUAUCUUUACCGACUUUUUGUCUUCAAAUGCCAAUUUGCCCAUAAUAUCUUCGGCUCCGAUUUGCUCAGGGACAAUAUGUAGCCUUCGUAAUGAUGUUAUUGACUGACUUCAAUAGCUGUAGUAAAUCUUCCUUGUAAGUUAUGCAAGGAAUUGGCCCGAUUUGGUUGAAAUUUGGCACACAUAAAGACACCUGAUGGCAUUGCAAUGUUAUGUUCGAAAAAUCGAAAUUAAAUAGUAAAAAUUCGGAGUUAUGUUAGUAUUUUGUUGCAAAUUUUAAUUGAAUUUUUUUAAAUACUUCCUGUAGCUCAAAUAUCUGAAAUUUGAAAUAUGUAUAUGGAUGUAGACAUCUGAUAACAAUAUAGUGUAAUGUUCGAAUUUUAAAAAUUUCAAGUUAUAUCUAAAAAAAAUAUUUUAAAAAUGUGUAGAAAAAAUCAAUUUUUUUUGAAUUUUCUUGGUUUGUGCUAAAACUAAACAAAAACUGAAACAGUUAAUAAAUUAUAUAAUACUUAAAGCUUGUCCUAAAAGUAAAGUAAUUUUUAAAAUAAACUUAUUUUUAAAUAUAAACAAAAGUUUGAUUUAUGUAUACAUAUUAUUGAUUACGGUAGCUUAAAAAGCCAAAUAGGCUUGGCAAACAUAUUUUAGAAUUCUUGCGCUUGCUAAGUAUUUUUUUUAAUUUUCUUUUAAUUGCAAUUAGACCAUAAAAACAGUUUGAUAAGAAUACAAUAUGUUUGAAUAAUAAUCUAAAAUCCAAUCAUAUUUCCUAGACUAAACAAAAAAAAACUAUGAUACUUAUCAUUGUACAUUUGGUACUUUUUCGUUUUCAACAAUCAGACAUAUAGGAUUCUGAUCUAAUGAAAAUCAAUAAGAGUGAACUUUUUGUUCUUCAACUGGAACUUCCUGAAUUUAUUAUAUUAUAAACAUAGAAACACAAAGCAUACUGAUUGAAUGAAAAUCUAUAAAAGGGGUCAUUCUGGUAUUUUU